GAUGAACGCUGGCGGCGUGCUUAACACAUGCAAGUCGAACGAAGCACCUUGAUUCGAUUCUUCGGAUGAAGAUCUUGGUGACUGAGUGGCGGACGGGUGAGUAACGCGUGGGUAACCUGCCUCAUACAGGGGGAUAACAGUUAGAAAUGACUGCUAAUACCGCAUAAGACCACAGCACCGCAUGGUGCAGGGGUAAAAACUCCGGUGGUAUGAGAUGGACCCGCGUCUGAUUAGGUAGUUGGUGGGGUAACGGCCUACCAAGCCGACGAUCAGUAGCCGACCUGAGAGGGUGACCGGCCACAGUGGGACUGAGACACGGCCCAAACUCCUACGGGAGGCAGCAGUGGGGAAUAUUGCACAAUGGGGGAAACCCUGAUGCAGCGACGCCGCGUGAGCGAUGAAGUAUUUCGGUAUGUAGAGCUCUAUCAGCAGGGAAGAAAAUGACGGUACCUGACUAAGAAGCACCGGCUAAAUACGUG
rnacentral:rRNA from 1 species